AUUCUUAACCAAAUUUGCCGCUGUCAUUGACCUCCCGCCCAAAAAUAAGAAUUUGUAUAUGGAGUAAACCCUCUCUCCUCUCCUCUCUGGUUUAGUCACGUCGCACCCUCAUCAUUGCAGGAAGCGCAAUAGUCAGGCACUGUGGUUUCCUCAUAAUACACAUACAACCUAACGUUAGCGGUAAAACCUGAUAAAGGUUCCGAUUGUUUUGACCAUGUAAUUCUCGCUCAGACAAGGAUGUUGACUUUGGUGUCUAUUUCAGACCUUAUGGCGUCAGAGCAUUAAAAGGGUCAGGGGCGAAGCAUGGAAACGCGGAUGCCCUAACGAAAGGGAGACAUACUGAUGACAGUCCCCGCCCCAACAGAGCUAAGGGGUGGGGGGGGUGUACAACAGGUCAGCCACCAGGAGUAGUUGGGGACGGUUACAGAGGUAACAGGAGUGAGUGCAGUUUUGACCCCGACAGGAUACAGUAAGACGCGGAGCCCAGAAGACAGUAUCCCGGGGAGGGUCUCAUGGGGAGACCUAUCCUCCUUCUUUUUGAUGUAUUAUUUAAAUAAACACCCUUGACACUGAGCUAA